GUGGAGGUGGAGGUGGAGGUGGAGAAGGGUGAGGUGCAGAAGGAGAUGGAGAUGGAAGAGAAGGAGGCGGAGAUUGCGGUGAUGGCGAUGGUGGUGGCAGCCGCGGAGGACGCGAUGGGGUUACAAAUGCGAGUGAUGCAUGGACAUUCUGUGGCUGUGAUUCAGCAAGAAGAGCACGGAAAUUACAUACAAGCCCUAAAAUCACAAAGAUCAGAGUAGGUAACUGUGUUUCCAUCAAACAAGAAAUUCCAAAGAAAAUAGGCGUUUGAUGAGAGGAUUCAAGAAGUUCUAGCAUCUGGGUACGAACCCAAAUUCUUGAAUUCCUUGCACUCAGUUUUAAAUUCAAGAAUUUGGGUUCUUCAAGAUUGGGGACCAGAGAACUAGGGUUUGAUCUCCGGAAUUCCUCGCUGUUGAGAAAAAAUCAAGGACACAGUCUAGUGGGUUCUUCCAAAUCCUGGUUUUCUGGAUUUGGUACCAGAGCUCUAGGGUUUCGGCAUAUGGCAUAAGGGGCUAUUUCUGACAAUGGAGGAGCAAUUGAUUUUUCGUUUUCUCGUAGGCAAUCAAGGAAAUGAGUGAAUUGGGUUGGUCCCCAAAAUUGAAGAACCUUGAUUUUUCACAGUAGUUGAGGAUCCUCGAUUUUCAUUAUCGAUUCUGCGUCAAAAUCAAAGAGGGUAUGGAAGAAAGGGUCAAAAGAGAUGUUGGGAAAGAGCCAUUAAUGAGAGAAGAAGAAGUUGUGUUUCUUCUCUGUUUCAGAGAAAUGCAGAAGUGGGACACAAAUGCUAGAAUGAAUGAGAAAGAGAAAGAGGGGCCAGGGGAACGCGGGUUCAUCGGUUGGUAGGGCCUAAUUUGGGUGAUUGUUUUGCCUAGAA
rnacentral:misc_RNA from 1 species